rnacentral:lncRNA from 1 species
UUUUUUUAUUACAUGUAUUGAAAUAUAUUUCUUCACUUCUAAUCACUUUCAUGGCAACACAUUAGAGUGAUUUUAUAUAUCAAAUAAUCACGAGGAAAAUAUGCUUUCAAAUGAUGAUGCUAAUGCGGACCGUUGAAUCGUUAUCAUGCAUAGUACAAUCUAUAAUUAAAUUUCACUCAAGUUCUAAAUUAAAUCAUCCGGCAAAUGACUGAAGAUAUUCUUGAAUCGAAUGUAAAUUUAUCUGUUCCAUUAUUUUCUUUUGCUGUUUCUGAUUGCUAUAAUAUAUGUAUUGUUUUGCUUCGUAUCUAUUUCUUUUUUUUU